AAAGCGUGCGCAGGCGGUCUUGUAAGUUUGUCGUGAAAGCCCCGGGCUCAACCUGGGAAUUGCGAUGAAGACUGCAAGGCUAGAGUUUGGCAGAGGGGGGUAGAAUUCCACGUGUAGCAGUGAAAUGCGUAGAUAUGUGGAGGAACACCGAUGGCGAAGGCAGCCCCCUGGGUCAAAACUGACGCUCAUGCACGAAAGCGUGGGGAGCAAACAGGAUUAGAUACCCUUGU
rnacentral:rRNA from 1 species